AGGACGAACGCUGGCGGCGUGCCUAACACAUGCAAGUCGAACGAGAAAGUGGAGCAAUCCAUGAGUAAAGUGGCGCACGGGUGAGUAACACGUGACUAACCUACCCUUGAGUGGGGAAUAACCUCGGGAAACCGGGGCUAAUACCGCAUAACACCUACGGGUCAAAGGAGCAAUUCGCUUAAGGAGGGGUCGCGGCAGAUUAGUUAGUUGGCGGGGUAAUGGCCCACCAAGACGGUGAUCUGUAUCC
rnacentral:rRNA from 1 species